rnacentral:rRNA from 1 species
UACGGAGGGGGCUAGCGUUGUUCGGAAUUACUGGGCGUAAAGCGUGCGUAGACGGUUACAUAAGUCGGGUGUGAAAGCCCCGGGCUCAACCUGGGAAUUGCAUUCGAGACUGCGUAGCUAGGGUGCGGAAGAGGGAAGCGGAAUUUCCGGUGUAGCGGUGAAAUGCGUAGAUAUCGGAAGGAACACCAGUGGCGAAAGCGGCUUCCUGGUCCAGCACCGACGUUCAGGCACGAAAGCGUGGGGAGCGAACAGG